rnacentral:tRNA from 1 species
GGUUGCCGCCGGCCGUCGGGUCGGCCGCCGCCAUCUCGGACAGGGCGUCGAGGCGGCCCGGCUCGAUCCCGAGGGCGACCGCC